rnacentral:rRNA from 1 species
UACGUAGGGGGCAAGCGUUGUCCGGAAUUAUUGGGCGUAAAGCGCGCGCAGGCGGUCGUUUAAGUCCGAUGUUUAAACCGUGGGCUCAACCCGCGGUCGCAUGGGAAACUGGACGGCUGGAGUGCAGGAGAGGAAAGUGGAAUUCCACGUGAGCGGUGAAAUGCGUAGAGAUGAUGGAGGAACACCAGUGGCGAAGGCGACUUCUGGCCUGUAACUGACGCUGAGGCGACGAAAGCGUGGGGAGCAAACAG